AAUUUAUAUACAUUUAUAUACAUUAAUGCUUUACUGCAGAAUCAACCUCUCUCUUUUGAGGUCACUGGUAGUUAGAGCUGUCAAUUAUUUUUUAAGCCCUAAGCUAACCCUGGCCUUGUAGAGAACAAGGUAAGUUUUCUAUAAAAUUGAGCAUUUGUUGAGAAGAACUAGAAGAUAGCUGGUAAAAAAAAUUUCCAUUAUGGUCUUAACGAGUGUUCUUACAAAGAACCCACUUAAUUAAAAUUUCAAAUUGAGUUCCUGCAUUGAAGAAUUCUAAGAUGUAAUAGUGAUUUCUGUGAAAUGAGCCUCGUCAAAGGGUUAUUUAUAGGAAUCCUUUGAGUGGGUUGAUUUCUUCUCCCCGAUAAUUCCACUCACAACAUUGUAAUACUAUUGCUCCUACCAACAUUGGUGAUUGUUCUCUUAAAACUCCUUUGAUUUUAAUUUUCUAAUGCCAAUUUUCUUAAACUUUACUUAUUUAAAUUUUUUUAAUAUAUUCUUUUCUCAUAACUUUUAUGUGCAGUGUCUGAAGCAUGCUUCUACCAUUGAUAUUCUGGUCUUUGACAAGUUAAUCCAUCUGGAAAUUUCAUUUGGAAGCUAUUCUGGAAAUUUCAUUUGGAAGCUAAUGAAAGGAAGAACAUUGGUCUGAGAUAGAAAAAAGUAAGCAAGGAGGUUGGACAAAAUCAGUGUAGAUCUAGAUAUUUGGAGACCCCUUAGAUCCUAUAGAGGAGUUGGAACUACUGGAGUUGAGAUUGCAAGGGAGGUGUUGGAUGCAACUGCUAGGAUUAUUAAGCCUGCUGUGACGACUGAUGAGAUUGAUAGAGUUGUUAAAGAGGCAACUAUUGUUACUGGCUAUAAGCGUGGAGUCUCGCCCUACAAGAAAGCUAAGAGAAAUGUCAGUCUCGCCCUACAAGAAAGUUAAGAGAAAUGUAGUCUCAAGAAAGUUAAGAGAAAUGUCAGUCUCGCCCUACAAGAAAGUUAAGAGAAAUGUCAGUCUCGCCUUACAAGAAAGCUAAGAGAAAUGAUACUACAAUUACAAGGUAAAAUUUUAUUUUCUUUAAUCCUUACAAUUUUUUUUUUUAAAAUAGAUUAUGUUAUAUUGUUACUAUGAAGUAAAAGUUUUUGAAAUUUUAAGAAUAUAUAUUUUUUCUAAAUAUGUGAAAAAUACAUUAUUAUUUAUUUAAAUAUUUGUUGUACCUAAUAUUUUGUCAUGAAAGAAAGAUUUGAAAAGAUUAUAUAUAAAUUUGCGAGUUACUAGAACAUUCUCGACUGGAACAAAUGAAAGCACUAUAUCCUGGUCAAGAAAUGAUGCAUGAUGCCUGCAGAGAUAAGUCCAGUAUUGUUGUUCAUGGGAGGAGGCAUGAGUGAGACAUGAGUGUUGGAAAAAGCACCAUCCGUGUAUCUUAUGCAAAAUAAAAAAAGUGGGUAAGAAUAACAAAUAAAAUGAUGAUGUAACGAUCCCAUCUAUAGUAUAUAAAACAAUCAUGAAUGUAUUUUUAGACAUAUUCAAGAUGCUUUUUUAGACAUAUAAUGUCUACCUAUAACAUUAAACAUACUUAAGAAAUUACAUUCUUGUAAAUAAAAUUCAUUGAUGUAGUUGCUUCCUGAGUGGAUUUUAUUUACAAAUUCUUACAUAUGCUUAAUGUUAUAGUAUAAUAAAGUAGAUAUUAUAUGUCUAAAAAUGCAUCCAGAUUCAUGAUUAUUUUAUAUACUAUAUAUGAGGUCAUUACACCAUAAUUUUAUUUGUUAUUUUUACACUUUUUUUUUAUUUUGCAUGAGAUAAAUUUUAUAAAACCAUCUAUCGAGGUUUAUUCUUUAAGGAUGGUGUCACGGAAGGUGAUUUUUCCAACACCCAUGCCUCCUCCCAUGAAUAACAAUACUGGACUUCUCUCUACAUGUACCAUUUCUUUGACAACUUUUCAUUUCUUCCAUUAAAGUUGAGAAUGUUCUAGUCAUUCACAAAUUCAUAUAUAAUCUUUCAAAUCUUAUUUUCCCGGCAAAGUAUUAGGUACAAUAAAUAUUUAAAUAAUAAUGUUUUUCUCACAUAAUUAAUUAAAAGAAAUAUAUGUUCUUAAAAUUUGAAAAACUUUUAGCUCCACAGUAAUGAUGUGACAUAUUUAUUUUUAAAAAAAUAAAAAUAGUAAAGAUUAAAGAAAAUAAAUGUUUACCUUGUAGUUGUUAGUAUUAUUUCUCUUAACUUUUUUUGUAAGGUCUGCGCUUAUAGCAUGAAAAGCAUAAGAUGUGAUGAGAGAAUUUACGAAUAUAUUUCGUAUGACUAUGAAGAGAACAUAAAUUAUCCUGGAAAAUGAAUUCGAAAGAUGUGUUUUUGAGUUAUUUUUUCUUUAACUGUAAUGAAGUUUCAUUUGUGUGAAGUAUAAAUCUUAGUUUUUUUUAUUAUUCAUUUUCAAAAUAAAUGAAUAAUAAAAAGAUUUAUACUUCAACAAAUGAAACUUCAUUCAGGAAGAAUAAUUGAAAAACAUAUAUUUUGAAUUCAUGUUCCAGUAUACAGAUAAUUUAUGUUCUCUUCAUAGUCAUAGCAAAUAUAUUUGUAAAUUUUCUCAUCAUAUCUUUUGGAUCUUUUCAAAUAUUUUUCAACUAGUAUGCACAAAAGUGGAACUUUUUCAGCAUCCUCAAAUCCCAACAUUUCAAUUACCCACAUUUUUUUGGAAAAGUUAACAUAUAGUUGCAAGAAGGUGAGGAAAAGAAAUGUAAUGAAAGUGUGUGAAUGAAGGAACUGAAUGUGGAUGAGAGUAGAUUUAUUAAGAAGACUUCUAUGUUAUAUUCCAUGGAAGAUUCCAAAAUGGAGACUUAGUUCGAACUAUGUUGGUGGAGGUCUACAUUUUUCAUGGUAUUGAUAUUGAUAUGCG
rnacentral:sRNA from 1 species